UCCUGAGAAACGGGCUACCACAUCCAAGGAAGGCAGCAGGCGNGCAAAUUACCCACUCCCGGCACGGGGAGGUAGUGACGAAAAAUAACGAUACGGGACUCAUCCGAGGCCCCGUAAUCGGAAUGAGAACAAUUUAAAUCCUUUAACGAGGNAUCAAUUGGAGGGCAAGUCUGGUGCCAGCAGCCGCGGUAAUUCCAGCUCCAAUAGCGUAUAUUAAAGUUGUUGCGGUUAAAAAGCUCGUAGUCGAAUCUGUGUCCCGCGCCGCCGGUUCGUCGCUCGCGGCGUUUAACUGGCGUGUCCGCGGGACGUCCUGCCGGUGGGCUUAGCCCCUCCUUUGGGGCGGCCCAAUCAUAAUCCCGCCGCGGUGCUCUUCACCGAGUGUCGAGGCGGGCCGGCACGUUUACUUUGAACAAAUUAGAGUGCUUAAAGCAGGCUAAAAUUUUGCCUGAAUACUUCGUGCAUGGAAUAAUGGAAUAGGACCUCGGUUCUAUUUUGUUGGUUUUCGGAACCCCGAGGUAAUGAUUAAUAGGAACGGAUGGGGGCAUUCGUAUUGCGACGUUAGNNGUGAAAUUCUUGGAUCGUCGCAAGACGGACAGAAGCGAAAGCAUUUGCCAAAAACGUUUUCAUUGAUCAAGAACGAAAGUUAGAGGUUCGAAGGCGAUCAGAUACCGCCCUAGUUCUAACCAUAAACGAUGCCAGCUAGCGAUCCGCCGAAGUUCCUCCGAUGACUCGGCGGGCAGCUUCCGGGAAACCAAAGCUUUUGGGUUCCGGGGGAAGUAUGGUUGCAAAGCUGAAACUUAAAGGAAUUGACGGAAGGGCACCACCAGGAGUGGAGCCUGCGGCUUAAUUUGACUCAACACGGGAAACCUCACCAGGCCCGGACACCGGAAGGAUUGACAGAUUGAGAGCUCUUUCUUGAUUCGGUGGGUGGUGGUGCAUGGCCGUUCUUAGUUGGUGGAGCGAUUUGUCUGGUUAAUUCCGAUAACGAACGAGACUCUGGCCUGCUAACUAGGCGUAUUUCCGACAUCUCGAAGGCCCGCCGGCCUGGUGCGCUCGCGCGCCGAGUCGUGCGCGGUUUUUACUGUCGGCGUACAAACAAUUCUUCUUAGAGGGACAGGCGGCUUCUAGCCGCACGAGAUAGAGCAAUAACAGGUCUGUGAUGCCCUUAGAUGUUCUGGGCCGCACGCGCGCUACACUGAAGGAAUCAGCGUGUCCUCCCUGGCCGAGCGGCCCGGGUAACCCGCUGAACCUCCUUCGUGCUAGGGAUUGGGGCUUGCAAUUGUUCCCCAUGAACGAGGAAUUCCCAGUAAGCGCGAGUCAUAAGCUCGCGUUGAUUACGUCCCUGCCCUUUGUACACACCGCCCGUCGCUACUACCGAUUGAAUGAUUUAGUGAGGUCUUCGGACCGGCACGCGGUGGCGUUUCGACGUCGCCGAUGCUGCUGGAAAGAUGACCAAACUUGAUCAUUUAGAGGAAGUAAAAAGUCGUA
rnacentral:rRNA from 1 species